rnacentral:tRNA from 1 species
UCCCUGGCAGCUCACCUGGUAAAGAAUCUGCCUGGAAGGCAGAAGACCUAGGUUCAAUUCCUGGGUUGGGAA